AGCGAACGCUGGCGGCAGGCCUAACACAUGCAAGUCGAACGAACCUUUCGGGGUUAGUGGCGGACGGGUGAGUAACACGUGGGAACGUGCCUUUAGGUUCGGAAUAACUCAGGGAAACUUGUGCUAAUACCGAAUGUGCCCUUCGGGGGAAAGAUUAAUCGCCUUUAGAGCGGCCCGCGUCUGAUUAGCUAGUUGGUUGAGGUAAUGGCUCACCAAGGCGACGAUCAGUAGCUGGUCUGAGAGGAUGAUCAGCCACAUUGGGACUGAGACACGGCCCAAACUCCUACGGGAGGCAGCAGUGGGGAAUCUGGCGCAAUGGGCGAAAGCCUGACGCAGCCAUGCCGCGUGAAUGAUGAAGGUCUUAGGAUUGUAAAAUUCUUUCACCGGGGACGAUAAUGACGGUACCCGGAGAAGAAGCCCCGGCUAACUUCGUG
rnacentral:rRNA from 1 species